CCCGCCCGCAUCUGACGGCUGUGUACCCCUUUUAUCCCACGUGUCAAUUAGCUGUUGGAUAGAGUGUAACAAUGCAAGUGAAGAGGAAGAAGAGUGCAACUCACCGCCCAAGCCCCUCGUAGGCAACGGCCUAGGGGCUGCUCCUUGGGGUCCCACCAGGUCACACUGCACCGACACUUCCUCUCUCCCACCAACCGAGGGGUCCACCCGAUGCCUGUAAUAGCCGAAACAUGAUCCACUGUCAGACCUGGAACAAGAAGAAGAAAGCCUGGGCUGGUUGUACUGUUCCGUGUUAGCCUUCCCUGGGUAUUCCCGGGCGCGCAGUGGCCUCCUCCUGGCGUCUCGCCCCCGAUCCUGGCCUUACCCCUGGGACUCCUGCUCUGCUCCCGUCUGCGCAUAGGUCCGCGCCUCAGGGCCAAAGAGCGCUCCUCCGAGGAACCGCUGGCAUCAGGAGCCACCCGUGCAGCAAUACCAACACCUCUAGGGGGACAUGACUCGGACCUCGAUGCGACCUGCCCAGCGCCGUCAUCCGGACCUGACCUGCACCUACGGCCUGUGCCAGGGGAUCUACAACUCCGCAACCUGCC